UACGUAGGGUGCGAGCGUUAAUCGGAAUUACUGGGCGUAAAGCGUGCGCAGGCGGUGAUGUAAGGCCGAUGUGAAAUCCCCGGGCUCAACCUGGGAAUGGCAUUUGGGACUGCAAGGCUGGAGUGCGGCAGAGGAGACUGGAAUUCCUGGUGUAGCAGUGAAAUGCGUAGAUAUCAGGAGGAAUACCGAUGGCGAAGGCAGGUCUCUGGGCUGACACUGACGCUCAUGCACGAAAGCGUGGGGAGCAAACAGG
rnacentral:rRNA from 1 species